GACGUAGGGCGCAAGCGUUUGUCCGGAUUUAUUGGGCGUAAAGAGCUCGUAGGCGGCUUGUCACGUCGGGUGUGAAAGCCCGGGGCUUAACCCCGGGUCUGCAUUCGAUACGGGCUAGCUAGAGUGUGGUAGGGGAGAUCGGAAUUCCUGGUGUAGCGGUGAAAUGCGCAGAUAUCAGGAGGAACACCGGUGGCGAAGGCGGAUCUCUGGGCCAUUACUGACGCUGAGGAGCGAAAGCGUGGGGAGCGAACAGG
rnacentral:rRNA from 1 species